GACUCUAAGCAGUUCAUCACUCGGUUUUCGGAUCGAUGAAGAACGCAGCCAGCUGCGGGACUUGGUGUGAAUUGCAGGACACACUGAUCACUUACUUUUUUAAUGCACAUUGCGGGCUCGAGACUUUCCGUGGCUUCGUAUGUGUGAGGGUCG
rfam:Ixodes scapularis strain Wikel colony gcontig_1108379538503, whole genome shotgun sequence.